rnacentral:lncRNA from 1 species
AUGAAGACAAACCAUACAAGUCCUGAGACCCUGAGCUGUCAGUUUGACUUAAUGUCAGGAGAUUGCCAAAGUUUCAGCAUCAGCAUCUGUGCUCACCAGCUUCAACAAGAUUUAGAAGAAAGAAAAGAAAGAAAAAAGCAGUUUAUAUUUUGUAAGUUACCUGUGCUCAUGUGCAGCUUACAUACAGGGGCGUUGAUGUGUGCAAUAGAGAAUUAAUUUUAAGCAGAGCUGCUGCUUGAGAUGUGUUUCCCAACUUGGAGACCUGGUUUUGGGGCCAAAAUUGAUGAAUGCUUCAGUACUAAUCCUUUGUGUCUUGUACAGCACCAAACUCCUAAUUAAUGUGGUAGCUAAAGAAUGAAAAUGUGUCCUCCCCCCUAGCUUGUACCACUUUAAUAGACAUUUCCUAUAGUAUUAAAUAAUAAUAUAGUAUUAUAUACAUAAUAAUAUAUUAUUAUAUAAUACUAUAUUAUGUACUAUAUAAUAUAUAUACAAUAAUAUCCUGUAGUAUUAAAUAAUAUUUUUCAACAGAGAUCAGCAAAAUUCCCAUGGUACAGAGCCCUUUUAAUUUUGAUGUAUAAUCAACUUCUGUAAGAGUGUUUUUUACCAGGAUUUCCAAAUUUCUUUUAAACACAAUAUUUGAGGUUUAGAUUGUUUUAUUAGCAAACUUUUUUUUUUUUAUACUAUUUAUUAUGUCAAACAUCCAGCUGUGUUUCAAUUCAUUCUUGAUUUGAUUAAGGGGAUCUGUUGCAUUUUGUUAGUAUAGAACCAUUAACUAAGAACUUUUUUAAAAAGUGCUCUUCAGGUAGUCUAAUCUACUAAAUUCAGAUAGUCUUUAUAAAAGAGCUGCAUUUUAUUCCUUUUGUAUGAUAUUCCACUAUAAAUGAAGAUGAAAUCUGUUGGUCUGCAGCUCCUUUUCUUAAUAUUUCUUCACAUUGGAAAAACAUCUACUCCUUUUUAUUUUUAUUUUUAAGAAUGACAUUUAUAUUAAUUUUAACUAGUGAGGACUUAACAUCACCCAGUGCAAAGAUAUAAUGAAAAAAUAUAAUCUUGACCACCACGUCAUUUUGCUUUGAAUUUCAGGGUCAUUUUCUUUAAAUAUUGUUAUAUGAAUCAUCUCCAUUUACACUGAUAAUAAAAGGCUUUCUGGUGUUCUCA